UGGGGAAUUUUGCGCAAUGGGGGAAACCCUGACGCAGCGACGCCGUGUGAAUGAUGAAGCCUUUCGGGGUGUAAAGUUCUGUCAGCAGGGAAGAUAGUGACUGUACCUGCGGAGGAAGCUCCGGCUAAUUAUGUGCCAGCAGCCGCGGUAAUACAUAAGGAGCAAGCGUUAUCCGGAUUUACUGGGCGUAAAGGGCGCGUAGGCGGCAAGGUAAGUUAGGUGUUAAAGGUUUCAGCUCAACUGGAAUAUGCAUUUAAUACUGCUUUGCUAGAGAGUGGGAGAGGAAAGUGGAAUUCACAGUGUAGCGGUGAAAUGCGUAGAUAUUGUGAAGAACACCAGUGGCGAAGGCGGCUUUCUGGACCACAUCUGACGCUGAGGCGCGAAAGCGUGGGGAGCAAACAGG
rnacentral:rRNA from 1 species